rnacentral:rRNA from 1 species
AUAAUAAUUUGCCUCUUAAUUAGAGGCUUGUAUGAAGGAACAUACGUGAGUACGACUGUUUCAUUUUUAUAUCUAAAAAUUAUCGUCCAGGUGAAGAGCCCUGGAUCUUAUAGAAAGACAAAAAGACCCUAUUGAGCUUUACUUAAAGCCCACCAUAAGAAUAACAUCUAAAUUUCUUUUUAUAGGCCUAGGUUCUGUUGGGGCGACAAAAGAAGAUCUAAAUCCUCUUUCUUUAAUCAGGCAACAAGCCUCUUAUAAUUGAUCCAAACUCCUUGAUCAUCGAAUCUAGCUACCCUAGGGAUAACAGGCUAAUUUUCUUUGAGAGCCCAUAUUGACAAGAAAGAUUGGCACCUCGAUGU